rnacentral:rRNA from 1 species
GACGAACGCUGGCGGCGUGCCUAAUACAUGCAAGUCGAACGAAGCUUUUUUAACUGGUGCUUGCACCGACUUAAACAACUGAGUGGCGAACGGGUGAGUAACACGUGGGUAACCUGCCCCAAAGUGGGGGAUAACAUUUGGAAACAGAUGCUAAUACCGCAUAAUAGAUAGAACCACAUGGUUCUAUUUUGAAAGAUGGCCUUUGUGCUAUCACUUCUGGAUGGCCCCGCGGUGUAUUAGCUAGUUGGUAAGGUAACGGCUUACCAAGGCAAUGAUACAUAGCCGAACUGAGAGGUUGAUCGGCCACAAUGGGACUGAGACACGGCCCAUACUCCUACGGGAGGCAGCAGUAGGGAAUCUUCCACAAUGGGCGCAAGCCUGAUGGAGCAACACCGCGUGAGUGAAGAAGGGUUUCGGCUCGUAAAACUCUGUUGUCAGAGAAGAACGUGUGCGAGAGUAACUGCUCGUGCAGUGACGGUAUCUGGCCAGAAAGCCACGGCUAACUACGUGCCAGCCGCCGCCGUAA